CACUACCAAAAAACAAUAUUUUUUCCAUCAAUUUUUUCUAGGGGUUUUAAAACUGCUGCCAAAACAUUCUUUGGCACCGGUUUUAACCGGUUCAAUUAAAACCAAAAAUAUCGCGCCCAGCACUUAAAAUACCAGAAUCCCUAAUUUCUCUAUUUCAUCUCCCGCGAAUGCAAACCGACCCAAAUUUGGAGCGAACGCAAGCGACGGCGCGAUUCUUCUCCUCAGGCGACGUGGGGCGCGGGUGCAGUUCUUCUCCUCAAGCGACAGGCGCGACUCUUCUCCUCCGGCCGGCCGUUCCUCACUUUGGAAAUAUCCACUAUGUGGACUUAAAAAACUGGACUUCACCGUCUUCACGGUUUCAUGAGAGCUUUUGCCAGAUCUAGUGCCUGAUAUAAAAUUCUCACUUGAGAAAAGUUUUUCAUUGACCAAAGCAAGUGGCCGGGAUAUUGAUUUAUGGUCAUCUAAUUCCCUAAAAUCUAAAUUGCCAUGUUUGGGGUUAUCAAUUUUGACAUUUUCAUCUCUGUGGAGGUUAAUAUUACUUGGUUUCUGAAGCCUUCACAUACCCAUUGAAGAUGCAGAAACAUUAUGAGGACUUAAGGAAGCGAUGUUUCCUCAUUAUUUGUAGAUAAGUACCUGGAAUGAACUUCUGAGAUAUGUUUAUCAAGCACACUAAAUUGAAUAGCCUUGGCACUA